rnacentral:lncRNA from 1 species
UUAUUUAUUCCUAAUUAUUAUUUAAAAUUUUUAUAUUUAUCAUAAAAUUACCAAAAUAGGCUUCUCAACUCUAAUUCCUACUAUCCCCCACCAACACCUCCCAAAAAAAAGAAACUUUAUGUGGACAACCACGCAUCUACAUCACUAAUUAUCUACGAGAUUAGCAAGCAUAUUGGAUUCAACUUAAUCUCUAUACCGCACAAAAUGUUUCUGAGCGCCGCUCAUUUGUAAUAAUAUUCUGCAAUAAUUAGAUCCCACCUUAUUAGCCAAUUACUAGUUAUUUACUAAAUUAGCAAGCAUAUUAAAAUUCAACAAAAUCCCUAUACACACAGGAGUGCGUCUGGUAUGCUUAUGGAAGUACGGAGCGCUCCGUACUUCCACUUUGUUUUCGAUGUUCGGACUUUCAAAUCGACGACCGGCUCCGUUAGACUUGAUCUAGAGUAUUUGAAGUAUCUAGAAAAUAAAUUUUGCGAUUUUUCGAUAUCAUUUGCCUAGUGAUCGAAGUGGCUCAAAAUCAACGGCUGAAAAUAAAAAUCUUACAAAAUAUGAUGAUAUGACAUUAAAAUUUUAGAUCAAAGUUAUUGAUCUUGUUUUAUAUGAUAUAAAAAAUUUUCUAUCAAAAUUUCAUGUGAUUUGAAUAUUUCUACACCAUUAAACUUGCAACCGGCUUACCACGGCCUUUAAAAUUAUUGAUUUUGAGCCCCUUCGAUCACUAGACAAAUGAUAUCGAAAAAUCACAAAAUUUAUUUUCUAGGUACUUCAAAUACUCUAGAUCAACUCUAACGGAGCCGAUCGUCAAUUCGAAAGUCCGAACAUCAAAAAUAACUUGGAAGCACGGAGGGCUCCGUGCUUCCAUAAGCAUACGAGCCCACUCAUACACACAGAAUGAUUACGCUGCUCAUUCAUAUCAGAAUACAUAUGAGUGACAUAUGAGUAAUACAAUCACACCUUAUUGGCCAAUCUAAUAGACCAGGUUCACUGAAUCCUCUUCGCCACUGUACAUGGGAACCUGCUUCAAUUGUCCUCUACCUGAUAAUAUUGUGCAAUAAUUAGAGAAUUUUUUUUUUCUUUUCCUUUUUAAGUGAAUUAAAGGACCUCGAGAUAAGCUUUCCACAUGUAUUUCAUUUUAGAAGCAAUAAAAUAUUCCUUGCACCAAUCAUUCCUCAGAAUAAGCUAUUUUAUAUGAGAAAUAUAAAGUGUGCAUUACAAAAUAAAUUUCACAUGAAAAAAUUACUAAGGAAUCAUGAUACACACUUAAGAAAAUGAGACAAUGAGCAAUUUAAAGUUAAAUAAUAUUGAGUACUAAUCAGAAAAGAAUAUUGGUUAUAGUUUUCUCAAGUUUUUGAAACCAAAAAAAAGAUUGUUUCACAUUAUAUUAACCUGCUAUUAAAGCAAGGGAUUUUUAAUUCAAAUUCUGUCAAGCUCUUAGUCUCAUUUAAUAUCCUCCCAUUUAACUUAGGCCUACAUCUUUAGCUUACAAAAUGUGCUUAAUCCAAAUACAAGUUCUAAGCUUUUGUAAAUACAUGACUGUUUCUAUGUUACUUUGUUUUUAUAAAUCAAUCAAAUAAGAGGAGUUAGUUAUCACUAUCAUUCAAAAAGGUUAAUCAUGUGAAACAUUUGACAUAUGGUAUGUUAGCAUAGUGAGUGAAUAUCAAAGCAAAAAAAAUACAGAAUAAGUGACUAGUUGCAGUAAAGACCAUGAAGCAGAGUUUUUUUUAUUGUUAAGUCCAUUAAGAUUAUCAAGUGGUUUUUAGUUAUAGCUUAGUGUUUUUAUUUCUUAAAUCAUGACAGAGUAUGAAAGAGAGUCCUAUGUCAAAAUUAAACAUCCAAAGGUUUUUUUAUCUUACAUGACUUCAAUAUAGUAAAUGUCAAUGUAAUAUACUGCAUGUAAGCAAUGGCUAGUCAAAUGCAAAUUGGUAGAAUCUGAUUACUAUGUUUAACAAUCUGAUUAUUAUGCACACUCCAAAAGAUAACAUACCCUAUAUCAGAAUACAACAGUACAGAAAAAGUCUAUAAAUGCAUUAGUUGAUGAAGCUCCUUGAGGACCCAGGUUUGUUACUGAAACCAUCUUUUACAGAGCACUAAAUAAUUUAAUGUAGUUGGAUAUUUUUGAACACUACUGAAUCAAUAGCCAGAGGGCUCAAUUCUCGUACAAAAAAUAUAUAUAAUUGAAUAUAUCUGGAACAUAAUUUCUAUAAAGAAACUGAGAAAAUCUUUCUCGAUAUCUCAAAUUGGGACUCAGUUAUGGAGGACAGGGCUCAAUGAUGAAGACAUUUAAAAUGGUGCGAAAAGAAAAUGAUUGUUAUCGAAUCCGAGGCGAAUGAGCUUGUCCUCUGUAUUAAACUAUGGAGAGAAUUUGAAAACAAGGGGAAACAAUACACAGACAUCAUGACAGAGUGGAACACAUUCUCUGUGGUGGGAGUUUCAGUUCAUAUCAGGACCUAAAUCACUUAUUAUGCCAAUCUAAUAUGUUUGGCCACAACACAUAGGAUGCCAAGGCAUUUGAAAGGUACAUUACUGAUUAAAUAGAAAAUGAAAACUAUUGUGAGAAAAAUGUGAUGUAAGAGAUGCCACUCUGUUUACCACCUGGGACUAAUGACAACCUCCUUUUGUCCCUAGAAAGAUAAAUAAAGAAAUAAUUGUAUCGAAGCGUUGCAACUUUGGUGUAAAUAAGACUAGAAAAGCAAAUUUUCACAUAUUGCUUCCUAUGGAAAUGAAAUCGGCUUAUAUGAGAGAAGGAUAAUGCCAAAAAUCACACCCACAAAUGCUCUUAUCCCUAAUCCUCAUUAUUUGAUGAAUUGCUGGUAUUCUAGUGUAAGAUAAUCGCUUGCGCUAAAUAGAGAAUUUCUCUAUCACAAUCAAAGCUGUCCCGACCCUACUAACAUGGUCUGAAAAGAAUGUAUUAGCUAACAUGCAGUCGGCAUAGCACGUCGAUAGUCAAGCCGCAUACAGAUGUGUCGUAAACAACCUUGGAUUCCCUAUGUAGAUUGCUCAAAUAUGUAUAGACCUGUCUAGAUGAUAGAAGCAUGUGUAUAGUUAUUGGUGCAUUAUAUUUUCACCUUAAAUUACUUUUUAAGUAACUAAACUGGUGCAUUGAGAGGCUGGAAACAUCAUUUGAGUGAUCAGAAUACGGACACAAUUUGAAGUGAGAUGUAAAAUACAGUCAUUCAGAACAAACUCAUUGAGGGUAAUGCUCAUCUUUUAAUCAUGCUUACUCAAUCAUACAUAGCAGAACCACUUAAAUGAUGUUGAUGAACAGCAUUCGUGCAACGAAUUCAUUAGCAAAAGGCUGAUGAUACACCAUGCAUCAAGUUCGUUUGGAAGAGUACUAAAUAAGAGAAACAUGCUCCCUAUUAAGAAGCUUAAAACUGACAGAUUCAUUCUAUGCACAGCUUAAAACUGAGUCAGUGCCAUUCCAAACCUCCCACGGUGGUGGAGCCCACUCCUUCCCAUACUUCCUUGUGACCAACUUCUUCACUAUCAACGCCUUCCCGGUCACAGUCCCACCAUCCAUGUCCAUUUGCAUCUGCAAGCAAGUUUUCCACAUUGUAAUCAAAGAUCAUAACUUUUUUGGAAUUGCAGUGCUAAGAGAUCAAUCACACUUCCAAUAGAUCUGAGAAGCAUAAUUGCGACAGCUUACAGUGGUUGUAAAGGGGUUUGUAUCUUUCAGUGUUGGAUUUGAAGCCUCUUCUCUUUGGGCGAGGCUUUGGGUCAUCACCUAGAACAACCAAGGAAUUCGGAGCAGCAUCUUUCUCACCAUAUCCUAAGAAUUACAGAACAAACUAAUGUAAUUUCAUGUCCUCACUACUAAUUGUUUGGCCUUCUUUCUACUUCUACUUUCAGCUACAAUCACCUCUAACAAAUUUUACUAGACAAAAAAAAAAGUAUUAAGGAAAUAUUAAUACAAUGCUUCUUCUAAUAACACUACUCAACAUUAAAGCAUUUGGACAAACAGAAAAGCCCAAAUCCUAAUAUGAUUCAAAGACCCCUAUUUGGAGCUUACGAUUUUAUUGGAGAAAGAAAAAGUAUGAAGUUUUGAUGUUAAUACAGUGCUUCUUCUAAUAACACUACUCAACGUUAAACGGCACUACUUCUAAUAACACUACUCAACGUUAAACGGCACUACAUCAUACAACAAGAUAAGCAGAAAGUGAAAGUAAUGAGCAAUAGUAAUGCAGGAAAAAAUAAAAUCAGAUCAAAACAACUUUCCCCUAAUAGAGAUGCUUAGGUUCAAUUAGUGAUAAUGUACGGCGACUAAUAAGGAAAUCAAAUAGUUUAUUUUCAUCCCUAGCACAUACCUAAAGAAUGACCAAAAGGGUUUUUCCUUUUCCGCAAAACCCUGCCGGUUCCACCAAAUUUUGAUAGAAACUCAUCACAAUCUCCAUCUUUUUCCAUCCUAACAUCGGCCUCUUCUUUCACCGGGCAAUUGAAUCGCUUAAAAGCAGCUUCAUUGAGGAUCAAACCAACACCCGCGUCAUCCGUUUUACCUUCCGAGCCCUUGCCCCCGAAUCCAAUCGACGAAAACGAACUCUGCUUCUCCUACAAAGGAAGCAACCAAUUCAUCAACCAAAAAGAACAAAUCUUCGCCUCAUUGCAAGAAUUAUGAUUCCGCACAAAGCAGAAGCAAGCUGCUACCUUAAUCGUUUUCGCGGCCGUUUUGACCAACUUCCGAUCCAAAAACUCGGCGAGCGAGACUGGUUGCUUCGGAGGCUUCGGCACUCCACCCACAUCGUCACCGCUUAAAAUACGAACACAAACACACACAUACAAAUACAUACAUGUUCUCUUCUUUUAGGCAUUUUAACAAACAGGUGAUGGGCGUGAAAACGGAAUUAGAACGAGACAGGGAUUGAUUAGAGGAGAUUUUGAGCACCUGGGUUUGGAGAGGAAGCGAGAUCGGAGAGAGGAUUGGCCAAAUGGCCUAAUGCUUGUGGGAAUUUUGAGCUUCAUUUUGGGGAGGAGAUCUCCGUUUGGGCUACGAAAAUGCGUUUACCGUGGGGUUUCAAUCCUUUUUGGCGCGGGAUUUUUAAAUUUGUGUCGAGUUCCCGAUACGUUUGGCGCCAAAUUUUCACACCAGGGUGGACGGGUUGAACCGAACCGGACCGGACCGAAAUGGACCGGAAGGAAACACUCCGGUUGGCUCGUUUUGCUAUGUCAUUUGAAAACGAGGGUGUAAGUGGGAAAGUUAUUUGGGCCCUAAAUAUUUAUCUUUAUUAUUUAAUUUAUUAUAAAUUAAAUUUAACUAUAAUUUUAUUUUCUAAAAAUAUGGUAAUUGACUUUGUCCUAAAUGUUGCUAAAGUCAAUUACGAGAGAGAUAGAGAGAAAAAAAGUUUCUGUUAUAACUGGAUUUCUUAGCCCUCCAAAAAAUGGGUGGGGUUAGCUAACCCCACCUCAAAUAAAUUAUUCCGGAUUAACUAACACCACCUAACCCCACCAAACUCCAACCAAACAUUAUUUUCUAUUCAUAAUAACUCACUAUCUUUCUUAUCACACCUACUCGAACUAAUCAUUAUCCUUCUUUAUCAAUCAUUAUCUUCUUAUCCCACCUACUCCAACCAAACAUUAUUUUUCAUUAUUCUAGACUAACUCCAACCCCCAACCAAACACAAAAAAACUUUAACCCCACUUUAACCCUGAACUUAACUCUAUCUUUGGAAUAGCUACUUUUUCCUUAACCCCGAACCAAACGGAGGCUUACGUGUUAGUACAAAAUUCUUCUACCGAAAUAAAUAAAAAAGUGGCAAAAUUACGCUAAAAUUUGUAUUUAUCUGAAAGUUAUUUUCAACCUGUAAAUCACUUACAGCUCAAUAACACAGGCCUUGAUAUAAUUAAAUAGUACCAACACCAAACCCUUCCAUAGCCACAUAAUAUAGAAGACAUAGCAUCAGAUAAACAUUCGGUAAGAGUGCCAACAAUUCCCUUCGUUUUACAUAAAACUUGCUAAUGGGAGAAAGCAUUCGAGAUGCCGAGAUUACGCUCUUUUCUCGAGAAAAUAUAAUAAGUUUAUUCGGUACAAUACAAUGCUGUUAAUAAUAAAUAAAUAACCUAGCUGAUGCUUGACGGCUCAGCGAAACACUAGUUCUAAGUACAACACUACAACAUCAGAAUAAAAUUGUGUGUCGAAUUUAGGGCCAACUGCACCACCAGUUCCUAGACUUCCACUCAAGUUUCACUUUGGUCCUGCCACUUCUGAAUUACACAUUCGACACCUAGAACUUCAUUCAUUCAUAGAUGCAUCUGUACAUUUGUGCACUGCGAAUCAAUCAGCCCUCAGUACAACUCGUACUUUAUAUCACAGCCAUCCGACAACUUACUGGUGAAAAUGGUCGAAUGAGAUCGAGGGCUCAUUGAUGGGCGGCGCAAAGAUGUACAGAUCUGCCUGGUGCAGGGCCUGCAGGCAAUAGUUUUUCUAUCGAAUAAAAGAUAGGAAUCAGGAAUAGAGUGAAACAAUUUCGGAAGUUCAGGAUAUCAAAUGUUGAACUCAAUAGUUUCAGGACCAAAGUGAAGCUUGAGUAGUAGGUAUGGGGACCGAUAGUGCAAUUUACCCUCGAAUUUAUCAUACUGCAAUGUGUUUAAUUGAGUGGAAAAGGAUGCUAGUCUUUAAGUGCCUGCUGGAGAGGCUCCUCUGCAGUAGGACCGGAAGACGGGGGUGAAACAGUUCUUGUAGCACUCUUGGAAGAGUCGCCUAACGACUUUGAGAUGGCACCUUUUUCGUCCACGACCUCCAGGGCAGCUCUCUCCUUGGCUUUUUGGGCCCUCUUUAUUACUUCUUCCUGCAUUUGUCAAACUUGUUACACUAGAAAGAGAAUGAUAAACAAAAUCAGGAUAUAACAUUUACUAAGUUAAAGCUAGUAGCUAGCGGGAUUGUGUUCUAAUUGGCACUUCAGCUCAAACAUAGUUUCAGAAGUUGAUACAAAUUUCUUAACUCUUUGGUGAUGCCCAACUUAAUUGUAAUAUGCAGGUCAAAAUCUGCCAAACUCCCCAUCCAUUCUGGAUGGUGUUCUCACAAAAAAUAAAUAAAUAAAUAAAUAAAAAUAGAACUCCAGGACAAAGAAAUAUCAUCUUUGAGUAAAUUGCAGGCUCCCUCGAGAUUUCAUGACCACAAAGCAUAUAAAGUAGGUGAGUUACCCCAUGAAGUGCUCUUACUGCAUUUUCAUGUAACUACUAUGUAAGGCCCACACUAAUUUGAAGUUGCUCUGGUAAGUAUUUUGGCACGAUUUCUCGAGAAUUUAUCUCAAAAUAGAGAUUUUCCUGACAGCUUACGAGCAAGUUAAGUGGAAAUAAUGUCUUAGUAUGGAAUGUCAUUGAAGUUCUAUUACAGCUAUGAUACUAUGUCUGAAUUAGCAUAAGGACACAUCUUUUGUUCAGAUCUCAUUUAAUUCUGCUGAAGUUUUUGUUUUUUUUUUUUUUUUAGUUUUUGCAAAUUUUAUGUGACUGAAUGUGCUGGCGGAUAGCAGAUUCUUGCGAAUUGCGUUCUACGCAAAACAAAAAUUUUGUAGCGCUCAUGGUAUUGAUGACCAAAAAUGACAUGCUACAGGUAAAACUGAAAGUGUAAUUCCUUCCUAGCUAUCUGGCAAUUAUUCCCUUUUGUAAAUCAAAAGGUCCAAUAUAUCCCUUUCCAUAUAAUGACUCUCGAAGAACCAUGAACCAUGAACCAUGAACCAUGGAAAGUGUAAUUCCUUCAUAUAUAUAUAUAUAUAUAUAUAUAUAGGGUCCGGCUACUAUACUAUUAUGAGUACGAUCGCCCUCGUACUCAUAAGUUGUUUUCAAUGAUAGAGCUUCCGAAUCGACGAUCCACAUCGUUAAACGUUAUUUACAGCAUUUAAAACUUCUAGAAAUCAAAUUUUAUAAAUUUUCGACAUCAUUUACCGUACGAUCAAGAGGUCACAAAUUUGACAAUUUUUAACGGCCGGUAUGGGAUACUUGCUAGUUUAACGGUGUAAAAGAAUCGGAAUUUGUUGAAUUUUUGAUAGAAAAUUCUAUUCACUACAUAGAUAAAGAUCAAUAACUCCGAUCUUGAAUUGAAGGAUCUGAUCAUCCUUUUUUAGGACGUCGUUCGAUUUUGACCGUUCAUUUUAUGCCCACUUGAUGGACUUUAUUAUGAUUUCGAAAAUUUACGAAAUUUAUUUUUUAAAAGUUUCAAAUACUCUAGAUCAUAUUUAACGGAGUGGAUCGUCGAUUCGGAAGCUCCAUCAUUGAAAACAACUUAUGAGUAUGAGUACGGGGCUCCAAUACUCAUAAUAGUAUAGUAGCCAUGGCCUAUAUAUAUAUAUGUGUGUGUGUGUGUGUGUGUGUGUGUGUGUGUGUGUGUAUAUAUAUAUACAUGUAUGUAUGUAUGUGUGUGUAUAUACAUACAUGUAUGUAUGUAUGUAUAUAUAUUUAUAUACACACGAAUUCAAGCGGAAUAACAGCGCUAGUUGUGUAGAGACAAUGUAUCUAACAGAUCAUUAAUUUGACUAUGAUAUAUCUCUCCUCCAGGAUGAGUUCUAAAUAAGAAGAAAAUACUACACUACGACCACAUAAAAAAAGUGAUUCUUCUGUCGAUUCUAUUGUAAUGCAUAACAGCCACUUUAUCUAUUUCCUACUUGAUUUGGAUAACUGAAAAGUUUUACAUAAGUUUUAUACAAGAUGAAAGUAGAAUUUAUCAUCAAAACCAUAGCGUAAGAAUAGAAGAAGGAAAAGACAAUUAGCGGACAUGUUUCAUUUUCUAACCUGGAAAUCUUGAACUUGUUUCUGUUGCUCAGCUUGCCACCGACCGACCACACUAAGAAGUUCUCCAACAGUAGAUUCUAUCCGCUCGUUCAGUGCUUCUGCAAAAGCUUUUCCCAAAAAGAAUGCAUCCAGAACAGCUUUGCUCUCAUUUUCACCUAAGGAACAGCCACAACUGAGUGACUAGAGGAAACUAUUACACGUAAACUUAGAAUAGCAUAAAGAACUAUUUAAAAUAAUAAAUAGUUUGCGAAAUCAGAAAUCACUAGCUGAAUUUCGAGGUGUCGUUCGCAGGAAAUUUAGCAGAAAAUUGAAUGCACACCCUCGACAGCUUAACUCAGUAUCUGUCCAAACUAGUUCUUACUGCUACUAAGUUAGCGAGAGCAAACUAAUUCUUUCACACGACAUCCCUUAUCUUGUGUCAGCAGCAGCUUAAGAAAUGAGUUAGAUGUGUAUAUCCAGAAUAACGCUGUUUCAAUAUAUAACUUAAAAACCAUAAGUUCAUCCUCCGCAACCGCUAAUAUGCGACUGGUGAACCCUAACAAGAACUACUGUGGUUUCAGGGCGGUAAGAAAGCCUCGUUUAAACCUUACUAACAAGUAUUUAUGCGCCCAUUAGCAAAAAUUGAGCCCACCGUACCUUACUAUGCUGACAAGAUAUCGACAUAAUACAGACCCCAUACAGAUGGCACAACUCAAAAUCCUCUUUUUUUCCAAACUUAGCAAGCAAUUAGAAUACAUUGAUGCUAGACAAAAUAAAUAUUUCAUACGGAAGUGUGUGACGCCGCAACAGUCCCAUGUCCCACAUCAGAAGAGAAAGAAAUUAUGAUUGAAAAUAUAAGGAUCAAAAACUUUGAUAUUAAUAUCUGGACUUAAUAUUUUGGACAGGUGGUUUAGACCUAACGAGUUAUUAGUGCGCUAGACCCAUGAACCAUAAGUGCUAACCAACUAUCUCAAAAGCGUGCUAUUAGAAAUACGCAAUCAAUUCACUUAAAGCGUACAGAUACAGCACCCACGGAUCUCGAUCGUGACUCGGCCCAGUCAGCCUUAUGCCACUUCGAACAUGGCUCACCAUAAUCCCGCCUCACGCCAUUUCGAAUAUGACUCAGACCUACUUAGCCUCCCGUCACAUGCCAAGAUGCUUGCCCAUUUAAGCCAACAAGAGCGGCACGCGCAAAUAAAUUUGCCAACAGUACACAUCGGCACAGCACGCCACGUACGGCCGAGUACCGUGCUAACAACUUCUCGGCACGAUCCCGCGCCGCGACACUUAAAAUCCACAGCACAAAAGGUCCGAGUACUCCUUAAUACACUAUCACCAAUGAUUAGAAAAAGGAUAAUUCUCCUAAAGAUUCUCCGUUUCGAUGAUUUAGAGUGCCCUAAAAAAAGCCAAAAUCGCGAUUAAAAAACAUUAUCAGUUAAAAUUUCCACCAUCGCACCUUAAAUUCGCGAAGAAGAAACGCAUUAAGGGACUAAAAAAGAUUGAAAAAAAAAAAAGUGGGAAAUGGAAAGAGCGAGUCUCUUUACUUGAACCGGGUCCAGGAGCUGCGCCGCCGCCGCCGCCGCUGCUGCGGCAUCGGACGCGAUUCCAUGGAUGGAAUCUCGCGAGGGUUCCGGGGACGAGGACGAGGGCCGGAGAAGCGCGGCGGAGGAGAGCUGCGGUGGGAGGAGCGCUUCUGGAGAAAGCGGGAGGAGGAGGAGGAGGAGGGGCGGAGAGACCUAUCAUUCUCGCGCACUACUCUCGUGUUUGGCCUUUUACAUUUUUGUGCUUAAUAUUUAUAUUAAAUAUAUAUUUUUUGGGUUAAUUUCAAAGAGUUCUCUACAAAUAUAAUAAAUUAUAAAUAUAUUUCUAUAAAGUUCAAUACAAUCGUUAGUAAAAAAAUAAUAGUUAACUAUAGAUAUUAUACUUAAUCCUAAUUAAUUUAUGAGGUGAAUUGAUAUUUUUACUUAUUUUAAUUAAUAAUUUGGACUUUUGGAGGAAUAUAUUUGAUAUAUUUGAAAGGAUUAAUUGCAUGCAGGUCCCCGCAAGUAUAGCGAAUUAUAAAUAUAUUCUUAUAAAGUUUAAUUUUUAUAAUUUAUUUUUGCAAAAGUUUUAAUAUUUUCAGAUAUGUCCCUCUAGUUUGUUACCGUUAAAAAACUGUUUAUAUUUCUAAUUUUGUCAUCAUAAAUAUAUCCCUUCAAAAUUUAUAAUAUAAUAAUAUAAAAGGGGUAAAAAUAUCAAAUAUUAACCAAAAUGAAGUAUUUAACCUAUGUUUAACUAAACUUUUCUAACGGCGGGGACAUAUCUGAAAAUAUUAGGAAGUUUGCAGAAAUAACUUAUGAAAAUUAAACUUUAUAAGAACAAAUUUGUAAUUUAUUAUGUUUGUGGGGACCUGUAUGCAAUUAACCCUAUUUGAAAAUAUUAGAAUUUUUGAAUGAAUAAUAUAUGAAAGUUGAAUUUUCUAGAAAUAUAUUUGUAAUUUACUAUAUUUAAAGACACCGGUAUAAAAUUAACUUUUUUUUUAUUCUCUGUUUUUUCAUUUAAAUCUAGAAGAAACUUCAGAUAUCUUGUGAUUUUUCUCUUUGCAAUAUAAUUUAGUUUUUAUUUUUAUGUUUUAUUAAAAACUUAUUGUUAUUUUUUUUAUUAAAGUAUCAUACAUCGCUCACGACAGUCAAAAAUAUUUUACAAAUAUCAAUAAAAAUAAUAUAGAGUCCUUCAAAAAUAAUCAGUAUUAAGUUCUAAGAGGUUUCAUGUUAUUUUUAUUGGUCUUUCAAUCACCUAUGCACUACAUAACAUUUUAAUAAAAAUGAUAAUUGAAUGUAGAAAAAAAUAAAAAAUAAUAAUUAUAAAUAUAUUUAAGUAAUACAAUUAAAAUUACAUAAUACUAAAGUAAAAAAAAAAAAAUUAUUGGAGGUAUAUGAAGUUUUUCCUUAAAUUUAUUAUAUUGUAUGCCAUUUUAAAUUAGUUUUUGGCCAAUUUGCAUAAAAAAUUCACUAGCUUUGCGCUUUUGCAAAACUAAACCACAUUUUUCGAUUUUGUAGAUUCGGACCGAAUUUUAAAAAAACAAACCAAAAUACCCUGAUACCUUUUUCGCUCUCUUCUUUUUUUUCUCGCGUUCUCUUUUGUUUUCUUGCCAAAGAAGUCGGCGAAGGCGGAGGCGGAAACGGCCCCUUCGCCUCUGCCCCUCAUGCACUCGCCCUCGCCCCCGUACGCCCCGUCCUCCUCGCCUCCAACCCCGCUGAUGUAACACCACGACUUUUUUUUUUUUUCCCUCUCCGUUGUCAAGCGCCCCUCGCGUCGCUGCCCCCCUUCUCAAAAGAUUUUUUUUUUAAGAUUUUUUUACCUCAUACUGAGAGAAAAAGAAGCCCCUCCUCAAAUUCACCCGCAGCACCUCGUUGAAGGUGCUGGGGCUGCUCAAGCUCCGCUCCAACCUCUCGAACACAACCUUCCCCGACAUGUUUGGCCUUGGGCUGUCUACCGACGGGCCCCUCGACGGCGGCGGAGGCACAGCGUUCCCAACCGCCACUGUGUCCCGCCACAUCGGGCUCUGCCCGACCCUCUGUGCCGUCGCGGACCGCGGCCACGAGAGGCAAAAAAUCAAAAAAAAAGAAAGAACAAGACGAAUGUUGCACUAUUAAAAUUAAGUUGCACUGUUUCACAAAAAAAUUGCAUUGUUUAAGAUGAACGUUGCACUCUUGAAAUAAAAAUUAUAUUUUUUGAAGCAAAUGUUGCACUCUUUUGACAAAUAUUACACUAUUUUUUCAAAAAAAUACACCGUUUCUUUUUUUCUUCCUCCCCUUCCUCCUUCAUGGCAUCCAUAGCCUACAUGGCGUCGGUGUCCAUGGCAUGCAUGGCGUCGGCGUCGAGCGGGAUCGGCGCCGCCUGCACGUCGUAUUGCAGUGGCCAUGUGCCGUUGCGCGGGACCGCGAAUGGGGCGGCGCGCAGCAGUGUGACGUUAAUCCGGUGGAAGCUGAGCGUGAAGCCGACGUCCGAAAAGCCCGCGGCGGCCACGCGGUUGUCGUUCUUGGUGACCACCGUGAUUGGUCGUAGUUGAGCCGGCUCAGGUGCGCCGCGGGCAUGCAAAGUGGAGGGGAAGAAGGAAGAGGAGGAGGAGAAAUGAUACAAAUUUCGCCCAAAAUUGCACAAUUUCAUCCAAAAUUGCACAAAAAAUAGUGCAAAUUUGAGGAGGAAAUCCCUAACAAACCCUCAAACCAGCACUGCACCUAGAAAAAAAAAGGAAAAAAAAGAAAAAGUAAAAAAAAAAAAACCCAAUCAAUCGCUCCACCCCUACUUCCUCCACUACAUCCCCUCUGGCUCCUCCGGCGGGGGCGUCGGUCUGGUCUCUUCUACCCUCUCUGUUGACAUCGUUGUUGGUGCCGACGGGGCCAACAACACCUCCUCUCGGGGAUGGUGUGGGCCUCGACGCAGACGACAAUGCCGCCGGCGAGCUUGGGCGUGACCCGGGCUUGGCGGCGGCGAUGCAGGUGCCAACGGCGACGUGGUCGCAGUUGGGGAAGACCCAGGCAUAGGACACGUCGUCGCCAACGUACAUCUCAGCGAGGUUGGUGUAGGCGGCCAUGCCCGCGGGGGGGAGGCGGACGCGCUCCUUGGGAGAGAGGAAAAAAAAAAGGACGUGAGAAAAAAAAAAGGAGAGAGAGAAAAAUACAAAAUAUUUUGGUCAGUUUUUUAAAAUUCAGGUCGAAUCUAUAAAAUCAAAAAAUGUGGUCCAAUUUUACAAAAACGCAAAACUAGGGACACUUUUUUAUGCAAAUUGGCCUAGUUUUUUUUUGGCAUGAUAACGUGUUGGAUGCAAGCAGAGUUAGGAUCCAAAACUAAGAAACUAUGUGCUACUGCCUACUGUGCUAUUGUAUUGCUUUUUUCUUUUUUUGUUCCCCAAACCUUUUUGCAUUUGCAUUUUGGUUCUUUUUUUUUGGAAAAAAAGAACGGGAAAAAGUUUAAUUUUCACUAAACUAGUACUAAAAGAGCAUAUUUUAAUCAAUAGCAUGAUAUGUAAAUUUUUUAUAUUUCAUAUAUAUAAAAUUUUUGCACAAGCAGUGUCGAUGAUUGACAUUUUUUAAACCACAAUAAAUAUUUUUGUAAGUAAAAAUUGUUUUGAGCAACUACAGGUACAUCCCCACCUUUAACAUCAAAACUCUUUUUUUCUUUUUUUUUUUUGAGAAUAGGUAGUACGCUACCAGUUUUAUUUAUAGAAAUGAUGAAUUAGGCUACAGGAGUGAGGCAGCCUGGACCUCUGGAAAAGAAACACUACAUCCAACCGAAAAAAAAAAAGAAAGAAAGAGGGAUUUUGCUAUUUAGUUUUGGCUAUUUAGUUUUAACAUCAAAACUUGUUAAGGGUUUUUGCUAUUUAGUUUUGCAUUUAUAACGAACCAAAAUAUCAAUAUUAUUAUUAUUAUUAUUAUUAUUGUUAUUAUUAUUAUUAUUUUGUAAUUUUCGACCGUUGAAGGGUCGGGUCGGGUCGGGUCGGAUCCGAUCCUCAUUUUCGAUGCCAACCCGGAUCCGAAUAUAUUAACGUAAAUACCCCUCAAAUAUAAACUAAAUAAAAUUCUCGACGCGAGGGUAUUCGCGUAAUUUCGGACGAAACCCAUCCCCUUCUCAACCCCUUUUCCCCUUUCUCUCUUUCUCUCUCUACGCUGCCCCUCUUUUUCGCUCCUCUCUCUCUCUCUCUCUCUCUCUCUCCGCGAUCGCGCGCGAGCGCGAACAAAACCCUCGUCUCAACGCGCCCAAAUCGAACGAUCCCGCGUCGAAUUAACCCUAGAACCCGAUUUCGCCGUCGACUUCGCCGUAUUCGAUUGCUCUCCCCUUCGAUCGGCGCGUAUCCCUUCUAGGUUUUCUCAUUAUUUUUUCCUUUUACUAAGAAACUAUAAUCUUUAUAUUCUUUUUUUAACUUAAGUUUUAUGGUUGUAAUUUAGGGCUCAUUCUCAUAUUUUUCUACUUCAGUUUAAAAUUGUCUUUUUAUGGCGAUUUUAGCUGAUUUUUAAGCCAAAAUUUGAAUCUUUUAGUCAGAUUUUUAUGUUCUCAUAUUUUUAAUAUUUUUCUGAUUAAAUUUCUGGUGCAAACUCAAACAUAUUGAAAUCUUAGGGUUUAAGCAGUAGUAGAUUAUCCAAGUGUUCUUCGUUUUAGCUAACUUUUUAUGUUUUGGAUGUGAUUUACGCGCAGAUAAUAUACUUGGAGGUGAAAAGUAGCUUCUAUUGUUGCAAAUUAGUACUCAAAUUUGUUGUUCAGGAGCAGUGGGUGUAUGAAUAUUUUAAUUCGCCUUAUGAGAGAGAUUUCGACAUGGCUACCCACGCAUUAGUCCCGCAAGAACAGGGCCUUGCUAUCUCGGACCACUCCCUAGUUAUCGGCCAAGAGUUCCCUGAUGUGGAGACGUGCCGGCGGGCCCUUAAGGACAUGGCGAUUGCCUUACAUUUUGAACUUCGAAUUGUGAAGUCCGACCGCAGCCGGUUCAUUGCCAGGUGCUCCAAGGAAGGCUGCCCAUGGCGGAUCCACGUGGCGAAGUGCCCCGGCGUCCCCACCUUCUCUAUCCGGACGUUGCACGGCGAGCACACCUGCGAGGGGGUCCACAAUCUCCAUCACCAGCAGGCCACCGUGGGAUGGGUCGCCCGGUCCGUGGAGGCGCGGCUACGAGACAAUCCCCAGUACAAGCCGAAGGAGAUACUGCAAGAUAUCCGUGAGGAGCACGGGGUCGCCGUUUCGUAUAUGCAAGCGUGGCGCGGGAAGGAGCGGAGUAUGGCGGUGGUACACGGCACUCUUGAAGAUGGGUACCGCCUACUUCCUGCUUAUUGCGAGCAAAUCAGGAAAACAAAUAUCGGAAGUAUUGCUUUAGUUUACCCCACGGGUCCUGAGAACUGCUUCCACCGCCUGUUUAUUUCCUAUUAUGCGUCGAUCUAUGGUUUUUUGCAUGCUUGUAGGCCGCUGCUGGAACUUGAUAGGGCACAGCUUAAGGGGAAGUAUCUUGGCACUUUGCUUUGUGCCUCGGCUGUCGAUGCCGAUCACACCCUGUUCCCACUAGCAUUUGCCAUCGUUGAUGUGGAGAGUGACGAGAAUUGGAUGUGGUUUCUGUCGGAAUUGCGGAAGCUUCUUGGAGUUAAUACGGACAAGAUGCCCAUAUUGACAAUCUUGUCGGAGAGGCAUAAAGGGGUUGUCGAAGCAGUUGAGACGCAUUUUCCUACUGCUUAUCAUGGGUUCUGCUUGCGAUACGUGAGUGAGAGCUUCCGUGACGAGUUUAAAAAUUCUAAGCUAGUCAACCUCUUUUGGAACGCUGUUUAUGCUCUGACGCCGGCUGAAUUUGAUGCAAAGGUAAGUGAGAUGAUGGAAGUUCAAGAUGUCAUGCCAUGGUUUCAUCUCUUUCCCCCAAACCUUUGGGCAAUCGCAUAUUUUGAGGGGGUGCGGUAUGGCCAUUUCAGUCUGGGUAUCACGGAGUUAUUGUAUAACUGGGCCCUUGAAUGCCAUGAGCUCCCUAUAAUGCAGAUGAUGGAACAUAUAAGGUACCAGCUAACAUGUUGGUUCACUGAUCGUCAUAAUAUGGGGAUGUCAUGGACCUCGAUUCUUGUCCCUUCUGCUGAGAAGCUCAUUUCCGAGGCUAUUGCUGAUUCACGUUGCUAUCAAGUUCUUCGGGCAAAUAAGGUGGAGUUUGAGAUUGUAUCAUCUGAGCGGACAAAUAUUGUUGAUAUACAAACGCGGUGUUGCUCGUGUCGCCGGUGGCAAAUAUAUGGUAUUCCAUGUGCGCAUGCUGCUGCUGCACUCCUGUCUUGCGGUGAGGACGUCCGUCUAUAUGCCCAAGAGUGUUUUAGCAUUAGGAAGUAUAGGGAGGCCUAUUCACAAGUGAUAUAUCCGAUUCCUGAUAGAAGUCUUUGGAAGGAUUCAACAGCUGGAAUGGAAGGUGGAGGUGGCAAAGCGGAUAUAAUCAUACGCCCGCCUAAGACUCGAAGGCCACCUGGCCGCCCCAAAAAGAAGGUUCUUCGGUUAGAGAGUUUAAAACGGCCAAAGAAAGUUGUCCAAUGUGGCCGCUGUCAUCUGUUAGGACAUUCUCAAAAGAAAUGCACAUUACGGAUCUGAAACUUUUUUAAUCAUGUUCAUUACUAAAUCUCUUUCUGUGUGUGCUAAAAAAGUUCAAGCAUGUUGUAAAAGUGUUUCUACAUUCUCUUCUCCAUUUGGUUGAGACUGUAUACAUGUCCAUUUUAUGUAUGCACAUGUACUGUAGCAGCAUUUUCACUUGGAAGAAAUGGACCACUAACCUAAUUCCUUACAUGCUUCUGUUUUAUUGCACUUCUAUUUUCUGUGCCGUGUGACAGUGUAAUUUAGCCUUCAGGAAGAAAGAACAUGAGGAAGAAAGAACUGAAGUAGGGAAAUCGAGCAUCUGAAUGAAGCGGAUCUUAUGUUCUCUUGAAGGUGUAACCUGAGAUUUCCCAAGCUUCAUGGAGGUUAGGAUAUUCUCCUGUACCUACUGUUUUGGCUUUUUUAUUUGCAUAGAAGUAAUGAUAUUACUCUUGUGUAAUUUCAGUCUUUGAAAUAACUCUGUAUUGUAUUUAAGUCACUUUCAACGGUGUUUGUAUUACAAUAAUAACUUCCCGACCAAGUUACAAAGAAUUUCUUGUGGGCAGAGUUUGCAUCUGAUAGAGGUUCAGCAUUUAGGGCCAGAGACAGAUCAAGAGAUUCACUGGUGAGAAUUAUAAAUAUUUUUGAGUAUGACUGGUAGGUCUAGUCUCGGAAAAGAUUUACUGCUUUAAUGGUGCCUCAGUGCACAAGUUUCUAUGCUUUUAGGUGGUUUCAUGAAUAUGAAAAUCAAUUCGGUCUUUGUAAGGAACAUAAAAGUGGUGCUGAGGAGUUGUUAGAAAGCUUAUUUUUCUCAUUUUAAAAUUUUCAAUAAGAGAGCUAUUUAUGUUAAACAGCACUUCAGUCUCAAUUUUUAAGUUUCUGAAAUAGUGGAUUAGUUGCUAACUAGGAAAUUUCAUAGUAUGAAGAAAAUGAUUUAUCUGGAAAAGUCUGAAAAUUUCUGAACAUGGCAGAAGAAAUAUCUGUUUGGCACUUGGUCUGCUUUCAGUUAGGAGAAGCGGCCUUUGCCGGGCAGUCAGAGAGUAAAGGUGUUUAUGGCAGCUAGCUUCUAAUUAUCCAUGGAUAUGGUGGUUAGAUCUUCAGGAAGAAGCUAGGAGGUGACGAAGUUAUACAUUUUAGGAAUCUUGAAGGUGCUGCAAGGUGUUGCUGGAAUUCAGGAACUUUUCACAAGCAGCAUUCAGUGGAUGGAGAUGUUGACAUGCAGGGGGCAUAUGAAUUAGUGAGGUGUUCCAUUGAUUGGUCAGUGCUUUUCCAAAUCUUUAAGUAGUUCUUUUUGGAAGAUCUUGGGUCCAUGUGAUGAUUUGAUGUUGGUCUUCGGAACAGAAAAGUUGGGAAAAUAUGAUACGUUAUUUUCUCUAAUACUUGCUGGUUUAGGUAUGCGUUCCACCUCAAACCGUAUUUCUGAUAUAGCUUGUAGAUGUGGAACAUCAUGGGACAAGUUGACAUGAAGUGGCAGCAUACAGCACGAAUAUGAUAAGUGAUUUUACUAGCAUAUUCUUGUGGAAGCAACUUCUUUGUCACCAUUUAAUAACCUUUUGGGCCGCAAUCUCUCACUAGUUAUUGCUUGGAGAAAAGAAGAAAAACAUUAGCGAUGGAGCAAAGGCUUUUAGUUGUUACUUGGCUAAUGCAUCUCACAUAAUUGAGACACGUUUCUUUAACUAUCUUAUUUGUGUUAAGUAAUAGUAAUUUCCUUUAUUUAUUUCUUUGGCGUUGUCUUUGACUAUGGCAACUGAAGUUAAAAUUAGAUCAAUAGUGUGGCUUCCACUUAAUAUUGGUAAAAUUCUGUGGAACUUUCCUGAACUGUAGUCCAUAUUAAUCUGAUUAUGUAGCCUUUAAAAGUUUCAAUUAGUCUUGGUUAUGCGCUCAGAAGUUUCAGGGUAGCUUGGAAAAUUAAGUACUUAUUUAAAAUGGCCUUUUUGUUUAUAAAAAGGUAGCUAGUAUAUCAUUUGACUGUUUAAUGUGCAGUUGAGUGUUUACCAAAUAAGCCUCAAUACAUGAUGUGUACAUUUCUUAUUCAAAUGUUAAUUCCCUGUAAUCACUUGCUAAUCAAUUUAUGAAUGCUAGUGAGUGUGUUAUAUAGGAGGAUAGUCUAGUUUGUUAUUGGAUGAGGUAGAGUUUCAUCUUUUCAUCAGAUUUUUGUAACGUUUAUCCUUCAUCUUCUUUCUCCAUAUUUAUGUUAUGACGAGACUUGCCUCGGUAUCUUCGUAAUUCUCUAUGUUCAUACGUUUAUGACCAUAUCCUCUUGGGAAACAAAUGUUAUUUCCGCCGCUGUUCCUAUUGCUGUUGUUCUGAUCCUGUUCUCAAUUUCUCCUAUCAUCUUUUUGACUUUAUGUUUCCAAUUAUCUAUUCAGAAUCUUGCCUAAUGGUAUACCAUUGCUCUCGAAAUGCUCUGACAUUGUUUCUUUCAGCUAUAAUUGUUCUUCUUUUGAAAAAAAGAAAAACUAUUAUUCUUGUUUAGUGUUUCCACUAUAAUAUUAUAAGACAUUAUUAACUGUAAGUCGAUCAUGAAUUAAAUUGUACAUCUACAAUAUAGCAUGUUGUUACCUCGUGUAUCAGAUUUCACAAACUAGGGAGGACUCGGUCUCCAACCUUCUAGCUCUCAAUCUCAGCCACGUCAGAAGUUUCCAUAUGGAGGUAUGCUUUAUUUUUCUUGAAUUGUUCAUUUACAACUUUAUACAUACCAAUUUUGGUUUUUUCAUCUAUAGAAUAGUCGAGGUGAGGGCCUUCAAUCUAAGAGUCUAUAUCUGAGGGCAGUGUUUCCUUAAAUUCUUUGUAUCAAGUUCUGAUUUGGAACAUAGAGGGGGGGGGGACUUUUCAAUGGCAUGAAAUGAAUUGUAGCAAUGAUUUCGUUUUUCUAAGUUCGACAAAUCUUAUUCAACGGAGUCUUUUCAUCAACUCUUGAACAUGUUUGAAUUUGUAUGAACCUGUUGUUCUAAAAUUCCAAAAUCAUCAGAAAGUGACCAUGUGUUGAUAAACUAUAGACAUUUUGAACUAAGCACAUGGCAAUGGUUCCUCAACAGCAACUCUAAUCAAUAUUUCUGCUGUUAAAAGAAAUGUUAAAACAUUAUGAUACAACAGCUCAAGCAUUCUGAGACAAACAACUAUUUCAUAUGGAGUAGGAGGUCCUAUGUUUGAAUUCCAUCUACCUCCCUAGUUUUUUCUCACUACCAUUUCUAUUUAAUUCAAGUCCAUAUCUUGUGACAUCCCUAGAAUUUGGAAUAAUUCUAUAUAUGAGAUAUAAUAGGGUUAAAAACCUCUUAAUCCUAGCUAUAGCAUUUUGGGUGGUGGUGUUAGGCUCAUAAGGUUAAAAGAGUUAAGCGUGCUAGAGUUAGAGUAGUCCUAGGAUGGGUGAUCUUCUGGGAAGUGGUGCGUCACAUGCCUUGAAUCUAUCAAACAAUCUUGAAUCUAGACUGGUGGACAUUUGAAUAGAAAUAUCAAAACAUUGUUUUUUGCUGGUUUAGGCUUUUGGCUAUAAACCAUUUUUUUCACACAGCACGAAAUAUAAAAUACUUAAAUAUUGUUCUCUAACUGUUUAAGCCUUCAGAGACGAGUAAACUCUUGUUUCGCAUGGUAGGAUUCAAAUCUUCAUAAUUUAUGAUAAAGAAACAACUCUCUUUGGUCCUCAUCAUUUACUGCAGCAAUCUGAAUACACUAGCUGCUAAAUCAUGGGCGCUAGUGGACAAUCCGUCCUAUACUGCAAAUGUAAAAAUAUUUUAAAAAUAAUUUUUUAUUUAUAUUUUACAUUUUUUAUAUAAUUUAGAUUAGACCAUAUGUGAUCUAAACUUUUGACAUUUUCCACCCAUGUGCUUCAAUGCUUUUAUCAGCUCAGCAUUUGAACUUUUGAAGGUGUGUCUUCCUUUUUUUUGGUGGAAAGGAGUGCAAUAAAUGUGACAACUAACUUUGUUUUUCCAAGGUUGANAUAUAACAUAUUAUAUUUAUAUAAUUUAGUUUUAAUUCAAUUUAUAAUUUUAAUAAAGUUUGAAAUUAAAUAUUGGAAUAACACUAUUCUAUCAAAAUGGUAGAAUAGUAAAUUCCAAGCUAUUUCGGAAUAGUCGUAAAUAACAAGGUUUGAUCGGAAUAAAAUAUCUUGCCUAAAAAUCAUUCUAUUUGGCGGAAUAGCGGGGAUAACUUUUUGUUAUUCCCGCUUAUACCCCGAAUCAAAUGUGACCUAUUAAGAGUAUUUUAGUCGAACUAUACACUUGUAUAUAAGGGGAAAGUUGGAAGAACAUGUGUCACUAUAAGGUCAGCCAAAAACUUUCCUUUUGUAGAAAAAACAGAAUUGGUCCACUGUACCUUUAGAUUUAGGGAAAACUUCAAAAACCCCUCUUGUCACUACAACGAAAACGGUCUAUAGCGACACUUUUAAAUAUAGGUACAUGUUAAAAAAGUGCUGCUCGCUAAAAUUACCGACACUUUUAAAAAGUGUUGCUAUAUGUGGGGUCGCUAGGUAUAUAGUGACAGUUAAAGAGUGUCGCUAUANGGUUAAAAAUAUAUAUAUAUAUAUACAGAACUUAUCUGAAUUACGAAUUACUUUAAGUUGGCGAUCCAAUCUAAUCUUUCAAUUUGUUUGAUAUGAGCUGGUUAACAGCACUUUGACUUUAAAAUUUAAGUUAACUGUUUAUUCAAUAAAUUUAUAGUUAUAAAUAUUGUAUGAAGUAUAUCAACUAAAUAUGUAAAGAUACAUAACGCUUUUAAAUUUUGCAAUCAAAGUGUCGCUAAGUUACUCAAACAAACUGAAAUAUAAGUUCCACGCCUUUUUACCCUCUUUUUAAAGUAAUUUUCUCUAGUUUUUUUAUUUUUCUUGAGAUUUAACCAUGUUUAAAAUCAACAAUGCUGGGGUCGCAUUUGGCAUGAUGAAGUAAAUCUCACGGGUAAGGUAAAUGCACUUUAAAUGCAGCUACUAUUUAUUCACCAAUUUUUUAGCAUUAAAGCAAUAAAUGAUAAAUCAUUUAUUUCUUUUUAUCUUACAAACUAAAUUUAAACUACACGCUUCUAAUUUAUCUACGGGGCAUGAAGAUUGAAUAGUUAAGUAAAUUUUUAGGUUUAAUUAUAACUCCGUGCUUUAAAUAUUUUUCUGUAUUAAAAAUUUAAACAAUAUUUUUUCUGCAUUUUAGUUUUGUCUAGAAUUNGGGGGGACUUUUCAAUGGCAUGAAAUGAAUUGUAGCAAUGAUUUCGUUUUUCUAAGUUCGACAAAUCUUAUUCAACGGAGUCUUUUCAUCAACUCUUGAACAUGUUUGAAUUUGUAUGAACCUGUUGUUCUAAAAUUCCAAAAUCAUCAGAAAGUGACCAUGUGUUGAUAAACUAUAGACAUUUUGAACUAAGCACAUGGCAAUGGUUCCUCAACAGCAACUCUAAUCAAUAUUUCUGCUGUUAAAAGAAAUGUUAAAACAUUAUGAUACAACAGCUCAAGCAUUCUGAGACAAACAACUAUUUCAUAUGGAGUAGGAGGUCCUAUGUUUGAAUUCCAUCUGCCUCCCUAGUUUUUUCUCACUACCAUUUCUAUUUAAUUCAAGUCCAUAUCUUGUGACAUCCCUAGAAUUUGGAAUAAUACUAUAUAUGAGAUAUAAUAGGGUUAAAAACCUCUUAAUCCUAGCUAUAGCAUUUUGGGUGGUGGUGUUAGGCUCAUAAGGUUAAAAGAGUUAAGCGUGCUAGAGUUAGAGUAGUCCUAGGAUGGGUGAUCUUCUGGGAAGUGGUGCGUCACAUGCCUUGAAUCUAUCAAACAAUCUUGAAUCUAGACUGGUGGACAUUUGAAUAGAAAUAUCAAAACAUUGUUUUUUGCUGGUUUAGGCUUUUGGCUAUAAACCAUUUUUUUCACACAGCACGAAAUAUAAAAUACUUAAAUAUUGUUCUCUAACUGUUUAAGCCUUCAGAGACGAGUAAACUCUUGUUUCGCAUGGUAGGAUUCAAAUCUUCAUAAUUUAUGAUAAAGAAACAACUCUCUUUGGUCCUCAUCAUUUACUGCAGCAAUCUGAAUACACUAGCUGCUAAAUCAUGGGCGCUAGUGGACAAUCCGUCCUAUACUGCAAAUGUAAAAAUAUUUUAAAAAUAAUUUUUUAUUUAUAUUUUACAUUUUUUAUAUAAUUUAGAUUAGACCAUAUGUGAUCUAAACUUUUGACAUUUUCCACCCAUGUGCUUCAAUGCUUUUAUCAGCUCAGCAUUUGAACUUUUGAAGGUGUGUCUUCCUUUUUUUUGGUGGAAAGGAGUGCAAUAAAUGUGACAACUAACUUUGUUUUUCCAAGGUUGAAUUUCUAAAAUUUCUGAUGGCAGUUCAUGUAAGUAGUUGGUUUUUUAUCAAAUUAGCUUCAUUUCUAUUCGAUGUCACUUUCAUUCUUAGAAAUUAACAAUACUUCUCGCUAAUUUAUUCCAAAAGUGGUGAUGACUGCAUUUAGUUCCACUGUUCCUUACAUAUGUUAUGUUGCUGCAAUUUACAGAGAGGGUCGGAGAACAAGAUUAUAUUGUUUUAUUAUGCAGGAAAACAAGUUCCAAACAAAUUGGGCAUAUUUGGAUGUCUGAAUAAGUUGUCUAAUAAUAAUAACUUUGUAUUAUGAAAACUUUCUUGUGUCAUUGUAAUAUAGGAGUUAUGGUUUUAGGUUAUAUAAGGUUCUGUGAUUUUCUAUGAUUAUCAUGCGAUUUAAAUAAAUGACGUAGGGACUGCAUAUAGUGUUAUAUCAUUGAAAACUUCUGAUCAUUCUACUUAUCAUUUACUUUAAAAAAAUCGUUUUGAUAUUCAGUUUAUAAGAGAGUUGCAUAUGGCAACACCAGCAAUAGCAGCAGAUGUCAGCAGCGGAAGUGGAAAUUUAGGAUAGGGAAGAAAUGAAAGUGCUGCUAGCUUUUAUGAAAAAAAAAAAUGUGAUGAUGAAUUAAAACAAGGCAACGGAAGGAGGAGGAUUAGAAGGGAGGGAAAGAGACCAAGAAUAUUACAGUUUGGGCAAAUGACAGUAGUGAAAACCAAAACUGCCUACCUAACUUGUGAUUUUGUAGUCCACUUCGUAGUUUGUUGCGUCUGCUAUUUCUGCUGUUAGUUCCUAUAGUUCUUCUUCACUUUCUCCUAUUAUUUUUCUGCUUUUGGUGCUGUUGGUGAAAAGCAAGGAAAGACUUUGAUUUGUAGCUGAAUACUUAUAUUGCGGCGCGAGAUGUUCACACUGCGCUUUUCUUCACGUUGUUAUUACGCGCAAAUGAUUGUUGGCCAGAAUUUGAGCAUAAUUUAUGCAAUAAAUAAUGUUUACGAAUACUUUAUUUUCUAAAUUAUAUGAAGAAAAUGUUCUAAAGAACGAGCGACGUGUGGAGUUUGUUAAUUUUCCUGCACAGCUGCGAUGGAUGCUUGCUUGCUUGUGUCCGACUCACAUUUUUUCCAAUUUGGUUGGCUACUUGGUAUUCUAUUUGUGCUAAAGUUUGCACUCUCUUUCUUUUCUUUUCGGUUUUCUUACCUUUGUGUUCGAUUAUUGCUAUUUGUUCUCGCCCUUUUGUUCGGCGUUUUCUUUAGUUCUUUCUUUGGUUUUCACUCUUCUACUUUUCUUUUGCAGAAGACCUACUACUAAGUUGGUAGGGGAUUUCCUCCUUAAUUUUCUUAUACUUUUUCCUCCUGAUUUUUCUAUGGUGCUGUUAUUUAUGACCUACCUUUAUCUGCUGCCACUUUUAUUACUGCUAUUGUUACUACGGCAGCCGCUGUUUCUUCUUCGUUGGCUACUAGUUUUCUUGCUCUUCUGCUACUCUUUUGUGUUGCUAUUCUUUCUCUUCGUUGGCUACUAGUUUUCUUUCUUUUGAGCUGCAAGACUCAGUCCACUCCCUUUCCAAGUCUCUUCUGCCGCUCACAAAGGGCGUCAGCGAAAGAUUUGACCAAGGUCGCAAUUUGUUGGUGGAAAAUCUGGUGGGAAAGAAAUAACGUGAUUUUUAGAAACCAUUCUUCUGAUCCCCUAAUCAUGGUUAGACGAGCUCGAGACUUGGAAAGGGAGUGGACUGAGUCUUGCAGUAGUAAGUGAACUCUUUUUUAGUCUUUUAAUUUUAUUUACUUAUUUUAUUUUAUUUUAUUUUUCUAAGUUUUUUUUUUAUCAUUUAUUUUUAUUUUUCAGUAUGGUGGCCUGUAUCUUAUUCGAGGUUGAGUUGCCUCAACUUCUGUAGCUGAAUUCAUUUUCUAUAUGAAUGAAGUGGGUAGUGUGUUACAUUUCUUUCAAGAAAAUUCUUUCUGUUACUGUUCUACCUCUUAUUUAUUGAAAAUUCUCACAUUCAAUUCAUUGUCUGUUAUUUCUUGGAUCACUUCGUAUGUACCAUUUUAAUUGGGUGAAAUAGAAGAGGCACUUUUAUAUAUAAUCUUAAGAAAAUUAUUAAGAGUAUUCUUGUGUAAUUAUAUACAUGCCAUAUAAGUAGAGAGUUGGAAGAACAUGCCUUACUCUAAGGUUCCCCAACUUUCCUUUAGGGCGUGUUAGGUUCGCUUUUCUUUCACUAAAAAAUCGGAAUCAGAAUGGUUGAAUCCGUUUGUAGGUGUUUGGUAUGCGGUAGUCUAAUUUCGAUUUCGAUCUUCGAGUUGAAUGGAAAUUUUUUAAUCACCUUUUUUUCCAAUCCGGUCUAGGAGGCCGGAUUGGAAGUUGAAUCCGGACGGAAUAGAUAUUUAUUCGGAUUAAAUUUACUUUUUCAACUUUUUUAAUUAAAAUAUGAGUUUAAAUUUAUAAUUUAUAAUUUUAAUUUGAAUUUGAAUUAAAAAUUAAAAUUUAAUCAAGUAUUUUGAAUCUAACUUAUAAAUUUAAAUUUAAAUUAAAUUUUAAUUUAUAUAAAGUUUUAUUCAAAUUUUAUUAAAAAUUUAAAUUAAAUUUAUGGAUUCAAUUAAAUUGUAAUUUUAAGUUUGAAUUCGAAUAAGUUGAAAUAUAUUUUUAUAUUUUGAAUUAUAAUAUCAAUUUAAAUUAAAAUUUUAUUUUAAUAAAAAAUAUAUAUUAAUUUGAUUACGUUUUUUAUUUCUAUCUGAACCAAACAUCGACAAUAGGAAUGAUAUUUAGAUAACGAACCAAACAGAAUUAGAUAAUGAGUNUUGUAAAAUAAAAAAUGUUCACUUCACUUCAUGCCGUUAGUAAACAGUUAAGGUUCCGUUUAUAAAAUAUUAUUAUAUAUUUUUUUAUGUCAAAAAUAUCCUCAGUCUUCUCUUCUGUGAACAUGAUAAGAGGCAAAAUAGUGAGAGGCAAAAUAAUCAUUUUGUCAUCACAGUUCACACCGUACUUUCCUGCGAAUAUUUUUUAUUUUACAAAGGGACAAAAUAUAGAUUUUUAAAUAACAAAAAAUUAAAAAAUUAAAUUUUGACAUAAAAUUUUUUUAUAAUUUAGCCAAAUUUUAAAUAUCAACUAUUAAAAUUUUUAUCAGUUGCCUUAGUAACUGUGGAUCUCUCAAGGCAAAGUUAAUGCAUGUCUGUCCUCUUGCCUCCCUUUAUUUAGCUAUAGCCCACACGUUUGCGGGUGCCACAAAAGUGUGACUUUAUAUAUGUGGCAUUUAUUUAUUUGACCACACACCUCUCAUCUCUACAAGAUUUUUUUUUUUCCCCUUUUGUGGCCAUUGUAAUAUUGAAUAGCUAACAGGUUAAUCAUAGGACAUAUUUGAUUUAUAGUAUUUUUUAACGUGUUCAAAAAUAAAACAUUGAAAUUAUAAAAUUUCAUACUUAUUUGGGAAAAUUUCAAAUAUCCUUUUGUGGUUUCACUCUUUCUCACUUUAGUAUCCUGUGGUUUAAAGUGUAUCAAGCUCGUACCCUGUGAUUUCGUAUUUUCUUAUUUUAGUACCCUGUGGUUUAAAGUGUAUCAAGUUAGUACCUUGUUGUUUCGCACUUUCUCACUUUAGUAUCCUGUGGUUUAAUAUUUUAUUAAGAGAAAAAUAAAACCACAGGAUACUAACUUGAUGCAAAAAUAAAACCAUAGGGUACUAAUUUGAUACAAAAAUAAACCAUAGAGUACUAACUUGGUACAUUUUAAACCACAGGGUACUAAAGUGAGAAAGUGCGAAACUACAGGGUACUAACUUGAUACACUUGAAACAACAUGGUACUAAAAUAAAAAAGUGCGAAACUACGGAGGGUUUUUGAAGUUUUCCCUACUUAUUUCUAAAAACUUUAAAUAUCCUAGAUCAGUUUUAACAGUGCGGAUCGUUGAUUUGAACACCCUAAAAUCGAAAAUGAGACUAUAGUACUGGAGACCCGGUACUGUAGAUAGUAUAGGAGACUAGCUCUCUCUCUCUCUCUCUCUCUCUCUCUCUCUAUAUAUAUAUAUAUAGGCUGCGUUUGGUUGGAGGGAUAUCCCAGAACAAUGAGGGAUAUCCCUCCAAACACAAUGCAAUUUGGAACAACCGGGUUGUUCCCGGAACAACCCGUUAAGCCGGGAACAACCCGGUAAGCUUGUUCUCCCUAAAAGGGAGAACAAGCCGGAACAAGAGAUUUGGGCUUUUUUUUUUNACCAAGAAAAAAAGAUAAAGCUUCAAAUACCAUCAUUUAAAGUGUAUCAAUUUAGUACCCUAUAAUUUUAUUUUUCUAUUUUUAUUAUUUUUUUCACUUUUUUUUUGUUGAGUUAAUAAUAAAGUUAAACUAAAAAGUACAAAAGUGAAUAUUUGAUAAACCUAGGUAGGGUUUCAAAAGGUUUUUGUAUAAAAUAAAAUCAGAGGGUAUUAAAUUGAUACACUUUAAAUUAUAUGGUAUUAAAGUGAGAAAGUGAGAAACGAUAGGGGUGGUAUUUGAAGUUUAUUCAAAAAAACAGAACAAGAAAAUAAAAACUUAGUUAAGCAUGCUCAAAACCAGGGUUUUUUUUGCAAAUAGCUCCCUGAUCAAUUUUUAUUUUCAAUAUAGCCCUAUCAAAAUUAAAAUUACAAAAAUGACCCUGUUUCUGCUACGCAGGCGCUACGUCAGCGCCACGCGGGCAAAGCUAGGGCCAGGGUAUUAAGCCCGCUGGGGCAGGGUAUUAAGUUGAACACAGUGAAUAAUUCGCGGUGUCUAAACACGGUGAAUGGUUCACCGUGUUUCUUACGUAUUUUUUGUAUAUUGAAAAGUGGAAUAAGGAGUAGGGAUGUCAAUAGGUAUGGAUAUUCGAAAUAUUAUCCGAAUCCAAACCCGAAUAAAUUAUAUAUAUACGUAAUUUAUUUUUGUUUAUUUAUACAAUAUAUAAAAUAUUUAAUAAUUUAUAUUCCUUAGAUCUUCAUCCAACGGUAUAGANUAUAUAUAAAAUUUAUUCGGGUUUAAAUUCAGAUAAUAUUUCGAAUAUCCAUACCUAUUGACAUCCCUACUUCUUAUUCCACUUUUCAAUAUACAAAAAAUACGCAACAAAAAAUACGUAUUAAACAUGGUGAACCAUUCACCGUGUUUGAACAUGGUGAAUGGUUCACCGUGUUCAACUUAACACACGGGCCAAGCCCUGCCCGUGUGGCGCUGCGUGGCAAGUGCAGGGCCAUUUUUGCAAAUUAAAUUUUGACAGGGCUAUUUUUAAAAUAAAAAUUUGUCAGGGAUCUAAAUGCAAAAAAAGCCCUAUUCCAUUGUAACCGUCAGAUUCAUUGAUGGGCCAAAAUCAACAAGACGACGAUUGGGGAUCAUACGGUCCCACGGUGACAAAGGAGGCAAAAUUUUGCUGUCCAAUUUGUCGUCUGAGAGGAAGAUGGUGUUCAUCUCCUUGUUUUUUUCUUCUUUUUGUUCCUUUUUUUUUUUUUNNNNNNNNNNNNNNNNNNNNNNNNNNNNNNNNNNNNNNNNNNNNNNNNNNNNNNNNNNNNNNNNNNNNNNNNNNNNNNNNNNNNNNNNNNNNNNNNNNNNNNNNNNNNNNNNNNNNNNNNNNNNNNNNNNNNNNNNNNNNNNNNNNNNNNNNNNNNNNNNNNNNNNNNNNNNNNNNNNNNNNNNNNNNNNNNNNNNNNNNNNNNNNNNNNNNNNNNNNNNNNNNNNNNNNNNNNNNNNNNNNNNNNNNNNNNNNNNNNNNNNNNNNNNNNNNNNNNNNNNNNNNNNNNNNNNNNNNNNNNNNNNNNNNNNNNNNNNNNNNNNNNNNNNNNNNNNNNNNNNNNNNNNNNNNNNNNNNNNNNNNNNNNNNNNNNNNNNNNNNNNNNNNNNNNNNNNNNNNNNNNNNNNNNNNNNNNNNNNNNNNNNNNNNNNNNNNNNNNNNNNNNNNNNNNNNNNNNNNNNNNNNNNNNNNNNNNNNNNNNNNNNNNNNNNNNNNNNNNNNNNNNNNNNNNNNNNNNNNNNNNNNNNNNNNNNNNNNNNNNNNNNNNNNNNNNNNNNNNNNNNNNNNNNNNNNNNNNNNNNNNNNNNNNNNNNNNNNUAUAUAUGUAUAUAUGUGUAUAUAUAUAUAUAUAUAUAUAUAUAUAUAUAUAUAUAUAUAUAGUUGAGAUAGAAUACUCUCAAAAGCACAAAGGGGUGGUGCUUUUGAGUUUUUAACCAUUGGAUGGAGAGAUGUAUGGUUGGGAUGAUGGUGGUAGGUGGUGGUAGGUGGAAUAGUGUUUAAUUUAAGAACUAUUAGUAAUUAAGGAGUAGAUCGAAGGACUAGAAACCAUAGUUAGUUAAUUCGGAUUCGGCAAAAUUCGGUACGGGUAUAAUUCGGAUAAAAUUCGUCUUCUAAUUAUUAAAUUCGUUGAAAAAUACGGCUAAAAAACGGAUUCGGUUAUUAUUCGGAUACGUGAUUUAUACGGGUAUUAUACGUUUAUCAAUUAAAAAUUUGGGAUACAAAAUUUGGCUAUAUAAUAAAUAUAUAAUAAUUAAUAUACUAUAUAUAUUUUUUUUAUAAUUUUUUAUAUAGAUUAAAUAUAUUCAAAGUUAUAAUAAAUAUAUAUUAAUAAUAUAUAAAAGUUAUGUAUUUAGAAAUAUUAAUAAAUAAUUAUAAAUAUAUAAAUAAAAUAUUAUAUAUAAUAAAUAAAAUAUAUUUAUAAAUAACAUUAUAAAUUAUAUAUUAUAUAUAGUAUUAUAAAUAUAUUAUAUAUUAUAUAUAUAUAUAUAUAUGAUUAUGGGGUUGAGUCACAAUGGAACCUCCUCUGAUGUGUUCACGAGCACAAAUAGGCUCAAUAUGGACCGCGCACAAACUGUAUCAUAAGCCCUCAUAUUUUUUUAUGUCCUUUCCAUCUUUCUGGCGAACGAGCAUUGCGCCUGCGAUGUUGCUCCGCCCGCCCGCAGAGUCGUGGAGGAGGAAAAUGAAUAUCGGAAGAGUUCUAUGCGAGACGGCUAUGACGAGACCUUUGGCCGCAAUCCAAACACGAGCGCCGCUAGCCACUACGCGCGACGAGCCGACCUUCGGACCCGAAUCCGCAACCGCGAACGCCGUUUUGGUCCGAAUUCAUUCGGCGAAAUCGCGAAUAAUUCCCGCAACACUUUUUUUGACGAAAACAUCGCAUAUUUAUUUCGAACUUUCGAAAAAAUACGGAAGACGCGUUUAUUCGUAUUUUAAAGAUUCGCGAUAUUCGGUUUUAAUCCCGAAUUAAUAAUCUAAUGCUAAAACUAGACAGCACAAGGAAUUGGUGUUUUAAAGUAUUAUCAGAGACGAAUUUAUAUAGUAUUAUAUAUAUAUAGUUAUAUUAGGAAGAGAGAGAAGAGAGAGAGUAAGAGAAGAAUAGGAGAUGGAAAGAGAGAUAUAGAUGAGAGAAGGAGGAGGCCUACUAUACAUCGAAAGAACGGAGCUUAUCCGGUAGCUUCCAACUCCGUCUUUCGAUGUUGCAUUUUCGAAUCGUCAUCGGCUUCGGUUAACUUGAUUCUAGAGUAUUUGAGGGUAUCUAAGAAUAAAUGAUGAUUUACGAUAUCAUUAUGCCUAUUAAUGAAGAGCUCGAAGAUAACGCUGAAAAUAAAAAAUCGUUACAAAAUAUAAUAAUAUGCAUAUAAAAUUUUAAAUCAAAUGAUUUGAUCUUAUUUUAUUUAAGUAUAAAGAAUUCAUAUCUAUCAAAAUUUACAAAUUUGAAUAAUUUUUACACCUAAAAUUGCAAAGGUCUCUAACGAGUCAGUUGAAUUUCGUUAAUUUAGCUCAUUCGUCACUAGGCAAAAUAAAUAUCGAAAAAUUAAUAAAUUAUGUUUUAGGUACUCAAAUACUUAAAUUAAGUUAACGAGUAGAUCGCGAUCGAAAGUGAUCAUCGAAACAGCUGGAAUAUUAUAUAUUAUAUAUAUAUAUAUAAUAUAUACUAUAUAUAUAUAAUAAUAUUUAUAUUAUAUAUAUAAUCUAAGAAAAAUUAUUAAGGUAUNAAUGAAUGAGGGAGACCUCGUGGACCACGUGUAAGCGCAGCCCAGCACUGCAAUUUUUCGUUUUCCGGUCGAAGCAGCGGAAACGAAACCCUUCAUUUUCUGAGGAUAUGUAAGAAAAAAAUUUUACAGACAACCAAACAACAACCAAACAAUAGAAAAUAUUUUUUCAACGAAAUUUUUUUUUUCGGAGCGGUUUUAUGAGAAUCCAAAUACACCCUAAGUAGGUUGGGGAUUUUCUCCUUCAAUUUUUUCAACUUUUUUUCUUCUUUUUUUUUUUUUGAGAGAGAGAUAAUACGCUACCCGCUUCGCUUAUUUCAUUUAGAAAUAAACUUAGCUGGAAAUAUAAAUCAACUAGGGUUCGAAUUUAGAAUCUCGGGCACCAACCGCCAAGCCUUUUGCCACUUGCUCUAGAAACGGUCAGUAAUUUUUUCAACUUUCUCCUCCUGAUUUGAUUUUUCUACGGUGCUGUUAUUUAUGACCUACCUUUAUUUGUUGCCGCUUUUAUUACUGCUAUUGUUACUAUUGCAGUUGUCGUUUCCUCUUUGUUGGCUACUACUUUUCUUCCUCUUUUGCUAUUCUUUUGUGUCGCUAUUAUUUCUGUUACUGUUCUGCCUUUUAUUUAUUAAAAAUUCUCACAUUCAAUACAUUUUCUGCUAUUUCUUGGCUCACUUAGUAUAUACCAUUUUAAUCGAGCGAAACAGAAGAGAAACUUUUAUAUAUAAUCUAAGAAAAUUAUUAAAAGAGUACUCUAGUCUAACUAUAUAUACAUGCAUAUAGGUAGAGAGUUGGAAGAACAUGCGUCGCUGUAAGGUCCCCUAACUUUCCUUUUGUAGAACAAAACAGAAUUGGUGCAUUGUACCUUUAAGGCACCGUUUGGUUUGGGAAUAGGGAUAGGGAUAGGCCCUUAUCCCCCCUUUAUACCCAAACGCUAAUUUUUUAUCCGAGAAUAGUAAUUCUCGCUUAUCCCCACCAACACCUCCAUUUUCUAUAUAAAACUUUCUAAUAUUUUUCUUAUCCUCGAGAACAACUCAAUUUUCAUCCAAACGCUAUUUUUCUUAUCCCCAUACUUGUACCUAUUCCUGUAAUAGCUAGUUCUUGCUUAUCCCCGAACCAAACGGUACCUUAGAUUUAUUGUUGGCCCAGAACAAAGA